rnacentral:rRNA from 1 species
GAUGAACGCUGGCGGCGUGCCUAAUACAUGCAAGUCGAGCGAAUGGAUUAAGAGCUUGCUCUUAUGAAGUUAGCGGCGGACGGGUGAGUAACACGUGGGUAACUUGCCCAUAAGACUGGGAUAACUCCGGGAAACCGGGGCUAAUACCGGAUAACAUUUUGAACCGCAUGGUUCGAAAUUGAAAGGCGGCUUCGGCUGUCACUUAUGGAUGGACCCGCGUCGCAUUAGCUAGUUGGGGAGGUAACGGCUCACCAAGGCAACGAUGCGUAGCCGACCUGAGAGGGUGAGCGGCCACACUGGGACUGAGACACGGCCCAGACUCCUACGGGAGGCAGCAGUAGGGAAUCUUCCGCAAUGGACGAAAGUCUGACGGAGCAACGCCGCGUGAGUGAUGAAGGCUUUCGGGUCGUAAAACUCUGUUGUUAGGGAAGAACAAGUGCUAGUUGAAUAAGCUGGCACCUUGACGGUACCUAACCAGAAAGCCACGGCUAACUACGUACCAGCCGCCGCCGUAA